rnacentral:rRNA from 1 species
GACGAACGCUGGCGGCGUGCUUAACACAUGCAAGUCGAACGGAAAGGCCCCUUUCUUGGUACUCGAGUGGCGAACGGGUGCGUAACACGUAAGUAACCUUCCCUUGACUUCGGGAUAACUUCAGGUAACUGGGGCUAAUACCGGAUAGGAAUCCUUUCUUCAUGGUGGGGGUUGGAAAGCUUCGGCGGGUUUGGGUGGGCUGGCGGCUUAUCUGCUUGUUGGGGGGGUUGUGGGUUACCAAGGCGUUGUCGGGAAGCCGGCCUGAGAGGGCGACCUGCCACAUUGGGACUGAGAGAAGGCCCAGAUAGCGACGGGAGGGAGAAGGGGGGAAGAUUGACCAAUGGGCGGAAGGCGGAUGCAGCAACGCCGCGGGCGGGAGGACGGGCUUAGGGGUGAAAAACGAAUUCAGAAGGAGCGAAGCUUGUGGUGACGGUACCUGCAGAAGAAGCACCGGCUAACUACGUG